UACAGAGGCCACAAGCGUUAAUCGGAAUCACUGGGCUUAAAGGGUGCGUAGGCGGGUUCGUAAGUGCUUUGUGAAAGCCCUCGGCUCAACCGAGGAACUGCAGGGCAUACUGCGAAUCUCGAGGAAUCUAGAGGCCGGCAGAACGAUAGGUGGAGCGGUGGAAUGCGUAGAGAUCUAUCGGAAUGCCAAAGGUGAAGACAGCCGGCUGGGGAUUUCCUGACGCUGAGGCACGAAAGCGUGGGGAGCAAACAGG
rnacentral:rRNA from 1 species